AGUUCUUCUAUUUAAACAAGAUAAGGGAGCAGCCGCGUUCCCAGAUUAAAAAAUUGAAUUGCAUGAGGCUCGGGCUUGAGAGUUGAAAAACACAAUCAUUCCAGUCCUCAGAAGAUCCGUUCUCCUCUGGCCCCCUGCUGCUUCUCUGGAAUCUUCUUAGGUAACUUUGGGCUUGCACAGCGCUAACACCAACGGCCUGUCUUAGUGCCAUUUUGUUUUCUGCCUGUGAUAAAGACUUUGGGAUCAGCAUGCAGAAUCCAGUCAUGGUCACCAUAGGUGUGUGUCACAAGCCCAACGCUGUGUAUGAGAAACCACUAUGGUUGGGCAUGGUGGGUCACACACAGACUUCUAACUCCUUAGAGACAGAGACAAAGGUAUGUAGUUUGAGACCAGCUUGGGCCACAGAGUAAAGCCCUGUCUCAAAAGAAAAAGAAAGAAAGAAGGAAGCAAGGAGAAGGAGGGAGAGAGGGAGGGAGGAAAGGAGGGAGGAAGGAAGAGAGAGGAGAUGGAGAGAUGGCUCUGUGGUCCAGAGCACUUGCUGCUCUUCAAGAGGAUCUGAGGUUUGACUUCCAGCACCCAGGAUAGGUGGCUCACAACUGCUGUAACUGCAGCCCCAGAGGACUCAACAUCCUCUUCCGGUCCCCACUGGCACCUGCGCAUGCGUGCACGUAUACACAUACAGACACGAACGUACACAUGAACCAAACAUU
rnacentral:lncRNA from 1 species